GACGAACGCUGGCGGCGUGCUUAAUACAUGCAAGUCGAGCGGACGAAUCCAAAGCUUGUUUUUGAUUCGUUAGCGGCGGACGGGUGAGUAACACGUGGGCCACCUGCCCUGUAGACGGGGAUAACACCGAGAAAUCGGCGCUAAUACCGGAUAACACGAAAUGUCGCAUUACGUUUCGUUGAAAGACGGCGCAAGCUGUCGCUACAGGAUGUUCCCGCGGGGCAUGAGCUAGUUGGGGGGGUAACGGCUCACCAAGGCGACGAUGCGUAGCCGACCUGAGGGGGUGGUCGCCCACACUGGGACGGAGACACGGACCAGACGCCUGCGGGAGGCAGCAGUAGGGAAUCUUCCGCAAUGGACGAAAGUCUGACGGAGCAGCGGCGCGUGAGCGAAGAAGGCCUUCGGGUCGUAAAGCUCUGUUGUUAGGGAAGAACAAGUAACGCAGUAACUGGAGUGAGCGUGACGGUACCUAACGAGAAAGCAACGGCUAACUACGUG
rnacentral:rRNA from 1 species